rnacentral:lncRNA from 1 species
AGGGUUAUUGAUGAGUUCGGGGAGUGCCUUCUUCUUUAUAUUAAAAAUCUUUUUUCUUUACUACACUUCAGUGUAGGAAAUCCAGGAAGUACAGCAAAGUACUCGUUCAUUCAUUCAGUCAUUCAUUCAGUCAGCCAACUAUUUUUUUUUUUUUUUUUUUUUUGAGAUGGAGUCUUGCUCUGUCACCCAGGCUGGAGUGCAGUGGCGAGAUCUCGGCUCACUGCAAGCUCCACCUCCUGGGUUCAUGCCAUUCUCCUGCCUCAGCCUCCCGAGUAGAGUAGCUGGGACUACAGGCGCCUGCCACCACGCCCAGCUAAUUUUUUGUAUUUUAGUAGAGACGGGGUUUCACCGUGUUAGCCAGGAUGGUCUCAAUCUCCUGACCUCGUGAUCCGCCCACCUCAGCCUCCCAAAGUGCUGGGAUUACAGGCGUGAGCCACCGCGCCCGGCCCCAACUGCUAUUAAUGAGCACCGCCUUGCGCUCCCCAGCUCUGCUGCCAGCCAGAGGAUCAUUUAAAAAUUGAAAUGGCCUGUUACUCCACACAGAGCUGGGGCCCAGCAGCACCUCAGCUGGAAUGUGGCGUUUUUCGUUGCAGGGAGAAGUGGUGAACCUGCGGCCCUCAGGCUUGUACCUGCUUCACUGGGGGAGGCUUCGAAGGUGGCCCAGCUCAGCAGACACUGUGUGGAUGUCACAGCCCAGUAGUUCAGAGGACCCUGGACCACCACCUAGACAGAGAAGGCCACAGCCUUGGCAAUGUCCAGACCCUUCCUCCUCUGAUCCCACAGGAAAGUGCAGAAGACAGAACAUUUCUUAACUCGUUCCAUGAGGUCAGCGUUACUCUCACGCCAAAGCCGGACAAGGACAUCAUAAGAAAAGAAAACUACAGACCAAUACCACUCAGGAAUACAAAUGCAAAAAUCCUCAACAAAAUAUUAACUAACCAAAUUCUAUAACGUAUUAAAAAGAUUAUUCACCAUGGCCAAGUGGGAGUUAUCUCAAGAAAGCAAGGUGAUUCAGCACAAGAAAAUCAACCAGUAUAAUUGAUCAUUAGGAGAAUGAAGGGGCUGAGCACAGUGGCUCACACCUGUAAUCCCAACACUUUGGAAGGCCAAGAUGAGAGGAUUGCUUGAAGCCAGGAUUUCAAGACCGGUCUGGAAAAAAUAGCGAGACCUCAUCUCUACAGUUUUGUUUUCUUUUUAAUUAGCCAGGCUUGGUGGUGUGUGCCUGUAAUCCCAACAACUUGGGAAGCUGAGAUGAGGGGAUCACUCGGGCUUAAGAGUUUGAGACUGCAGUGAGCUCUGAUUGUGCCACCGCACUCCAGCCUGGAUGACAGAGUGAGAUCCUAAGUCCAAUAAAUAAAAAAAUAAUAGAAUGAAGGGAAAAUAAAAACCCCACAUGAUCAUCACAGUUGAUGUGGAAGAGGCAUUUGAAAACACUCAGCACCUUUUAUGAUAAAAAUCUAAGUGAACUAGGAAUAAAGGGAAAACUUCUCAACGUGAUAAAGGGUAUUUAUGGAAAAUCUAUAGCUAACAUCAUAUUCAAUGGUGAAGGGGUGAAAGCUUUCCCACUGAGAUCAGGAACAAGCUAAAGAUAUCCCCUUUGCCAUUUCUAUUUAACAUUGUACUGGCAGUUCUAGCCAGAGCCAUUCAGCAAGAAAAAGUAAUAACAGGCAUCCAAAUUGGGAAGGAAGAGGUAAAACUAUCCAUAUUCACAGAUGACAUCCCCUCCCCUCCCCUCACCUCCCCUUUGCUUCCUUCAUUAAUUAUAGAGACAGGGUCUUGCUCUGUUACCCAGGCUGGAGUGUUGUGGCACAAUCAUAUCUCAUUGGAGCCUCAAAGUCCUGGGCUGAAGCGAUCCUCCCACCUCAGCCUUCCAAGCAGCUGGGACUAAAGGUGUGUUCCACAAUACUUGGUUAUUUAAAAAAAAAGUAUAGAGCUAAGGUCUCACUAUGUUGACCAGGGUGGUCUCAAACUCCUAGGCUCAAGCAAUCCUCCUGCCUUGGCCUCCCAAAGUAUUGGGAUUAUAGCUGUGAGACACUGCACCUGGCCUCAUAAUCUUUUAUAAAGAAAAUUCCAAAGAAUACACAAGAAAGUGACUAGGCUAAUAAAUGAAUUCAUCAAAGCUGCAUGGCAAAACAUCAGCACACAAAAGUCUGUUGCGUUUCUAUACACCAGCAAUGAAUAAUCUGAAAAGAAAAUUAAGAAAGCAAUUCCAUAUAUAAUAGCAUUUAAAAUAAUUAAAUACUUAGGAAAAUACCUAGCCAAAGAAAUGAAAGACUUUCAUGCUAAAAACUACAAAACACUGCUGAACAGAAUGAAAGGAUAUCUAAAUAAAUGAAAAGACAUCCCAUGUUCACAGAUAGAAAGAUUUAACAUUGUUAAGAUGUCAAUACUAUCCAAAAUGUUCUAUAGAUACAACAUAAUUCCUAUCAAAAUUCCAAGAGCCUUUUUCACAGAAAUGGAAAAUCCAAUCUUGAAAUGUGUAUAAAUUGCAAGGUGCCCCAAACUGUCAAAAUUACUUUGAAAAAGAAUAAAGUUGGAGAACACACAUUUCCCAACUUCAAAAAAAUUACUAGAAAGUUACAUUAAUUAAGAGUAUGGUACUAGCAUAAGAACAGACAUAUAGACUGAUGAAAUAGAAUAGAUAGCUCAGAAAUGAACCCUCACAUAUAUGAUCAAUUGAUUUUUGACAAGAGUACCAAGACCACUCAAAUGGGGAAAGAAUAGGUUUUUCAAUAAAUGGUGUUGGGAAAACUGGCUAUUCACAUACAGAAGAAUGAAAUUGGACUUUUACCUUGCACUAUAUACAAAAGUUAACUAGGAUCAAAGACCUAAACUGAAGAGCUAAAACCAUACAACUCUUAGUUAGAAAACACUGGAAAAAUCUUUUUAACACUGGAUUUUAUAACAACUUCAUAGGUAUGACAUCAAAAGCACAAACAACGAAAGAAAUGAGAUAGAUAAAUUGGAAUUCAUCAAAAUUAAGAUUUUUUUUUGCAUCAAAGGACAUUAUUUAAAACGUGAAAAAGGCUCGGUGUAGGGCUCACAUCUGUAACUCCAAUACUUUGAGAGGCUGAAGCAGGAGGAUUGCUUGAUGCCAGGAGUUUGAGAACAGCCUGGGCAAUGUAGUGAGACCCUAACUCUACAAAAAAAAUUAGCAAAUUAGCCAGGUGUGGUGGAGUGCACUGGUAGUCCCAGCUACUCAGGAGCCUGAGGUAGGAGGAUUGCUUGAACCCAGAGGUUUGAGGCUGCAGUGAGCUAUGAUCACACCACUGCACUGCAGCCUGGGUGACAGAGAGAGAUGCUAUCUCUAAAAACAAAAUGAAGCAAAAAAAUGACACACACUGUGAAAAGACAAUCUACAGAAUGGAAGAAAAUGUUUGCAAAUUGUAUAUCUGAGAAGAGAUUAAUAUCCAGAAUACAUAAACAACCCCUACAACUCAACAACAAUAAAAACCAACAAUGCAAUUCAAAAUGGGCAAAGGACACAAAGAGACAUUUCUUUAAAGAAGAUGGCCGGGCGCGGUGGCUCAAGCCUGUAAUCCCAGCACUUUGGGAGGCUGAGAUGGGCAGAUCACAAGGCCAGGAGAUCAAGACCAUCCUGGCUAACACGGUGAAACCCUGUCUCCACUAAAAAUACAAAAAAUUAGCUGG